AGACGUCUACAUUAGAUACCCCGGUAGUCCCAGCCGUAAACUAUGCGCGUUAGGUGUAUCGGUGACCACGAGUCACCGAGGUGCCGAAGGGAAACCGUGAAACGUGCCGCCUGGGAAGUACGGUCGCAAGGCUGAAACUUAAAGGAAUUGGCGGGGAGCACCACAACGGGUGGAGCCUGUGGUUUAAUUGGACUCAACGCCGGGAAGCUCACCGGAUAAGACAGCGGAAUGAUUGCCGGGCUGAAGACUCUGCAUGACUAGCUG
rnacentral:rRNA from 1 species